AGUGAACGCUGGCGGUAGGCCUAACACAUGCAAGUCGAACGGCAGCACAGGAGAGCUUGCUCUCUGGGUGGCGAGCGGCGGACGGGUGAGGAAUACAUCGGAAGCUACUCUGUCGUGGGGGAUAGCGUAGGGAAACUUACGCUAAUACCGCAUACGACCUACGGGUGAAAGCAGGGGAUCUUCGGACCUUGCGCGAUUGAAUGAGCCGAUGUCGGAUUAGCUAGUUGGCGGGGUAAAGGCCCACCAAGGCGACGAUCCGUAGCUGGUCUGAGGGGAUGAUCAGCCACACUGGAACUGGGACCCGGUCCAGACUCCUACGGGAGGCAGCAGUGGGGAAUAUUGGACAAUGGGCGCAAGCCUGAUCCAGCCAUACCGCGUGGGUGAAGAAGACCUUCGGGUUGUAAAGCCCUUUUGUUGGGAAAGAAAUCCAGCUGGCUAAUACCCGGUUGGGAUGACGGUACCCAAAGAAUAAGCACCGGCUAACUUCGUGCCAGCCGCCGCCGUAA
rnacentral:rRNA from 1 species